rnacentral:rRNA from 1 species
GACGAACCGUGCGAACGUUGUUCGGAAUUACUGGGCGUAAAGGGCUCGUAGGCGGCCAACUAAGUCGGACGUGAAAUCCCUCAGCUUAACUGGGGAACUGCGUCCGAUACUGGAUGGCUUGGAUUUGGGAGAGGGAUGCGGAAUUCCAGGUGUAGCGGUGAAAUGCGUAGAUAUCUGGAGGAACACCGGUGGCGAAGGCGACUACCUGGCCUGUUCUUGACGCUGAGGCGCGAAAGCUAGGGGAGCAAACGGGG